rnacentral:tRNA from 1 species
GGGGUUGUAGCUCAUUGGUAGAGCACUUGCCUCACAUGAAUGAGGCACUGAGUUCGAAUCUCAGCACCA